rnacentral:rRNA from 1 species
UACAGAGGUCUCAAGCGUUGUUCGGAUUCAUUGGGCGUAAAGGGUGCGUAGGCGGCGCGGUAAGUCGGGUGUGAAAUCUCGGAGCUUAACUCCGAAACUGCAUUCGAUACUGCCGUGCUUGAGGACUGGAGAGGAGACUGGAAUUCCUGGUGUAGCGGUGGAAUGCGCAGAUAUCAGGAGGAACACCGGUGGCGAAGGCGGGGUCUCUGGGGCAGUAAACUGACGCUGGAGGAGCGAAAGCCGUGGGGGAGCGAAACAGG